rnacentral:sRNA from 1 species
GAUAAAUACGCGUUAUUGUCUUAACCAACCGAUAUCUGUGUAAAUGUUCAAAUUCUCUAGCACAUGGUAUAACAUUUAAUUUUUAGACAAGUUCCGCAUUAUAGUAAAUUUGUAUUUUAAAAAACAUUUGCUAUUUGCUUUAUCAGUAAUAUAUUUUUCCUGAAAAAUUUGACUAAUUUUCCUUACAAGUACAUCCAUUUUUUUAUCAUCACGCAAUGAUAUCAACUAUUUUUGAGUGAAUUUAAUUGAGUGAAUAAACUCUUGUUGUAAUAACUUGCAUGGAAAAGCUUUAGUUGUAGAGUGAGUUCUUAUUGACUUUUAACCUAAAGUCAUUUAUUAAAUAUUUGUUACAGAUAUUCAUGAUUAUGUAUGAUGUGUAUGUAUCUUGUUUUUAUACCAUUCUUAUGAUUGUUAAUCAAAAUUGAAUAAAUAAGUAUCAAGUUU